rnacentral:misc_RNA from 1 species
GAUGAAGAACGCAGCGAAAUGCGAUAAGUAGUGUGAAUUGCAGAAUUCAGUGAAUCAUCGAAUCUUUGAACGCACAUUGCGCUCCUUGGUAUCCCGAGGGGCAUGCCUGUUCGAGCGUCAUUUCACCACUCAAGCCUGGCUUGGUGUUGGGCGACGUCCUCUUUGGGGACGCGCCUCGAAACGCUCGGCGGCGUGGCACCGGCUUUAAGCGUAGCAGAAUCUUUCGCUUUGGAAGUCGGGGCCCCGUCUGCCGGAAGACCUGCUCGCAAGGUUGACCUCGGAUCAGGCAGGGAUACCCGCUGAACUUAAGCAUAUCAAUAAGCGGAGGA